GGGAAAAUGUCAUUAAAGUCCUGAUUACACUCACAGCCUCCUGUAGGGAAGCAGGCUAGCAAUACGAUAAACACAUUCCUGGUACCCACUUAAGUCAUUUAGAUGCAUGACAAAGCAUCAUUGAAACCCAACUUAAAAUGAACUCUAAUGAGGCGAUAUUGCCUUCCAUUUUACAACCUGUCACACAUUUGCUUUUCUUUUAUGAUAGAUGCUGCAUGUCUGUCAAGCAAAAUCGAGAC
rnacentral:lncRNA from 1 species